AUUGAACGCUGGCGGCAUGCUUUACACAUGCAAGUCGGACGGCAGCACAGAGAAGCUUGCUUCUUGGGUGGCGAGUGGCGAACGGGUGAGAAACAUAUCGGAACGUACCGAGUAGUGGGGGAUAACUGGUCGAAAGAUCAGCUAAUACCGCAUACGUCUUGAGAGGGAAAGCAGGGGACCUUCGGGCCUUGCGCUAUUCGAGCGGCCGUUAUCUGAUUAGCUAGUUGGUGGGGUAAAGGCCUACCAAGGCGACGAUCAGUAGCGGGACUGAGAGGAUGAUCCGCACACUGGGACUGAGACACGGCCCAGACUCCUACGGGAGGCAGCAGUGGGGAAUUUUGGACAAUGGGCGCAAGUCUGAUCCAGCCAUGCCGCGUGUCUGAAGAAGGCCUUCGGGUUGUAAAGGACUUUUGUCAGGGAAGAAAAGGCUGUUGCUAAUAUCAGCGGCCGACGACGGUACCUGAAGAAUAAGCACCGGCUAACUACGUGC
rnacentral:rRNA from 1 species